rnacentral:lncRNA from 1 species
UAGCGAGGUGUAAGAAAAACAAAAGGACAUACACGAAGUUUGGCUCAACAUUUAUAUCAAACUUACAAAAAAUAUUAUGAGUAAAUUAUUGCAACAUGUUGGAUAAACAUUUAUAAGAGAUUGUAAUUAUACGUUACCGAAAAUUUUAAAAUUCUAAAGGAACUUUAAAGAUUUUUUGACCAUCAUUACAAAUACGAAGGCCAAGCUUUUACUCCUAAGAUCAAAGGAGUAUAUUAUUAUACGUACCAUAUAAAGAAGGCAGAAAACAACUAACAGUGAAUUUGACAUGUGUACAGUGAAUUUAAAUAAAGUAUUAUUAGUUUCUACAUUAUCGUGCAUCAUACUGCUUUGUAAUGGACGAGGUAAGAUUUUGUUUAUGUCGUUUGCUACGAAUUUAUUUAUUUUUAAAAUGAAACAUAAAUAUUCAUUUAUUAAGAUUUAUGUUUUUCAAAUCACUACUUGUACAUAAAUGAAUGUGUAUUUAAUGAAAACAUAAAAAAAAAUAAUGAUAAAAAAUAAUGGACUUACAUUUAGAAUUCCUCAUCUCAUUAUAAUAGGUUUUAUAAAAUGAUUUAUCACGAAAUAGCUGAAAUGAGGGGAGUCAUUUGUUCGUGUUUAAUUUGGUAGAUGAUAUUAUGUUAUUUUACUUUUUGUAUCAAAAUUCUUUCAAUAUUGCCAAAGUUAAAACUAAGUCGAAACCAACAUGUCCUGCGUUCCGGUUGUACGGACCAUUUUGAAUUGAUCUCGAGUUGAGAGCCUAAUUUUCUCCAUGGAAAUCUUACAUAGAUAAUGUGACUUUAUGAAAGAAAAAAAACAUUAUAAAACGCUCUUUUUAUUUCAUGUUAGUUUUAAGUGGAUACUGAAUAACAUUGCAAUAAUUUUUGCGCUGUGGUUGGUUUUCCUUUUUCUUAUUAUCUUUUUUUUCGUUUUCCAUUGGCGUUUAAUUUAUACAUACGGUAGUUUAUCACAAUAACUUUAAGAUGCGAUAUCGUUUUGGAAAGAAAUUCUAGUUACGUAUAUUUAUCUAUCCCAUUUUCAACCAUAUUGACUGAAAGGAUGUACUAAUUACGUUUAAUAGUAACGUACAAAAUAUGGACAAAACGAUGUAUCUUUGAUACUGAGGUAGACGCGAAGGAGUAAUUUUGAAAUCUCGUUGUGAUUUUUCUCUUACCUGAUAUUAAGGUGGUAAAUAACACUACAGCUGUGUAAACAUCAGCUGAACGUUUUAAUCACUGAUCUAUUCUUUAAGGUUACAGUCUUCAUACGCUUACUGCAAAACAGCUGGUCUCUGCAAAUUUUAAAAAAAAAUGUUACAUAGAAAAAAAUGUUAAUGUGCAUAUCAUGUAUUAAGUAAAGUAAAAUAGUAAUUAAAUUGAUAAAAAGAGUCAUGCCACGAUGAAUAAUAAGUUAUGUUACCCUGAAGUCAAAACUAUUUUUUUUUCUACUUUCUGUUUUCUGUUUUUACUAGGCCGUACCAAUUUCAGUAAAUAUGAUAUCCUUCCACUUUCCAGAUGCGAUAUCCCCAAAUAAAUACAGGAUUUAAAAAAAAUCUGAAUAAGUUUCAAUUCAGCAUAAGGUUUUAAUCAUAAAAAAAAACCUAGAAAAAUGGACUAUUUUGUUUCACUCCAUGUUUUGACAUGCAUCGAAAACUUGAGUUGUAAUACAAGAUUGAUACAUUACGGAAAAAACUAAGCUUCUUAAUGAUCAAAAUUAGUGUUUUUCAAAGUGCUCUAUAUCCAAUGACAAUUUUCCGAUUAAGUGUGGAGUGUACGUUUUUUGUUUUAAUUUUCAUAUUUUUGACAAAAGGUAAAAGAAUGUGAAGUUAAUAUUUUUCAAAAAAUUCUAUGAAUUUUAGACAAGCAAAAUUGAUUUUAGUCAACGUGUUUGGUACUACCUUAAUUAUAUUUAUAUAAUUAGUGACCUUCUUCUGCAGUAGUUUUACAACAAUCGCUGUAAUGAAGUAGUAAUGUCAUUGACAUUCUAAGAGAAAGAAAUUGUCAUAUUUCAAAGGUUGACCUAUAUGACAUGUGCACUUUGGAAGCUUAAUAUCGAUCGUUAAAUAGAAAAGAAAAUUUUGUGAAAUCAUACCUAUUGACCAUUUAAAUAUUUUCCUAUCUCUCCCAUCUGCACCCAAGAAAAGAAUAAAAGUUGUUCGACAUCAAAUUUUGACCUUUCGAAAUGCUUUAAGUGAUACGUAUCGAAACAGACAUUUGUACUCCCAAAGUAAUAUACUUUUCAAAUUGCUAUAACUUAUGAUGAAGAUACUAUUACAUGUUAAACGGGCAGUUCAAUGAGAAUAAGCAUUCAUUCAUUUUCUCAGAACGCGUGUCCUUUGAAUGUAAAGGUAGUACAUUGCAUGGGGUCUUCGGCCAUUUUGGAUUAUAAAAUUGCAAAAAGAUUAAUUUGGGAGAGUGUACCCUCGAUAAAUAUAAAAAAGAUAAAGACCAAAUGAGUCGACACUGUGGAUUUUUGUAAACAACAAUUUAGGUUAGCAGCCCUUGAUAUGUUAACAAAAUAGCUGCACGUGAAGUAUCCACUGUAAUAUACAGUUAUUUUCAUCAGGGGUUCAAUAAAACAAGAAGAAUAAAAAUAAAAUAAAUAACAAAUCCGAAAACUGUGAAAAAUAACGCUCCUUACGGUAAAAACAAAUGAGAAAAAAAACCAGUCUGUAUAUUUAUGUUAAAGAAUAAUUGGUAAAUUGUAGCCUAGUACCGUGUUUCCAAUUGUACUACGCAUCGAACAUACAUCGCCUUGUUGCAUUACUUCUGUUGAGAAACAUACUAUUUCCUUUACACCAGUUUACCUCCUGAAUGAAUAAAUGUCUUUUAUGUACUAAUAUGAAUUAAUUUUCUAGUACAUAACAAUAAAAUGAUUUUAAACUAUCAAACAAAAGGAAUGAAUAACCUAAGUAAAUAAAUGAUUUUUUGUUUUUUUUUUUCAUUUCAUAUAUAAAUCAGUUUUUUUAUGCCUUGUUAUUAUUGAUUGCAAUCAUAUGACAAAUAAACAGAAGCUGAAUUUCCAUUUUUUUUAUUAAAAAUUGAUAAGAUUUAAUCUGACUUUAGCAUUGUGUUAGAGAACAACACAAGAUCAAGGUUUUAGAAAGCUUAUCUUUUUUGAUUUUUUUGUCAUUCUUGCUGUUUAUCCUGGUUCACAGAAAUAUACAAAAUUGUGUUGUUUUAUAAAAUCCAGCUAUUAAGAAAGCAAACUUUAAGAUUAAUGGAGAUAAAUAAAAAGUUAUUGAAAUAGAUUAACGAGUGGGAAAAGUACUGACUGUCAGGGGUCUCUGAAGUCUCUUCAUAAUUAGAUUUUAUUUAUUACAUUGGAUGCAUUGAAAUUUCACGACUCCCAACUCAUACAAACACCAUGGGUUUUACAAAUGCAAUAAUUAUUGCAAUGUUAUUCCUCUCAUUUUUGUAGCAAAAUUUGUUGUCAAGACGUUGUAAGUGACGUUGCAUCGAGUACGCGUAGCAAACAUUUUUUUUAAAGAUUGUUCAUUUUAAAAUUUCUUUAACAUAAAAAUAAAUUUAUUGUAAAAUAAUUUCAAUAUUGAAAUAUACAUUUAUCCAGCACGUGACUCACUCCUUCGCAUUAGCGAAUUAUCACACUCCUAUGUUAAUGUUAUUAUCAGCUCAGAAGUCAGAACUUCGAUAUUAGCAUGACUUUAUAACAAAACUUUUUUUAUCUUUCGGUUUAUAAAUGAAUACAAAAAUAUGUUGAAACUGAGGUUCAACUCCUUCAGGCAAUUCAAAGUUGACGUUAGAUGAAAUCGGUUAUUAUAUCAGGCAUUUUUUUGUUAUAAAACUCUCCAACCUUUCUGUUUUUAUAAUCCUUAUCUUUUCAGUAUUUGGAUUUGUGCGUUCCUGAUGAAAGAAAAUCCAAGAAAACGCUCUUCAUACGCAUGCCAAUUAUAAAGUGUCGUUUUCAUUUUUUAAGGGUUGUUUAGAUCCGUGUAUGAAUUUUUCGAUCUUUGAAUCAUUUAAUGAUUCAUUAUAUAAUGGUUCGAAGUUGAUUUGUCAUCCUUUUUACAAAUUUUCAUGUUGAAAUAUUUGUAGCGAUCAGAUAUUUGCACAUGUUUAUCGUAGAUUUGAAUUAUCAACUCUUUAGAUAUUCAUUUCUGUCAAAUGUAGGUGGUUUAUUAGGUUUCUGGUUACUACAGGAUUCAAAGACAGUUCUCCCUAGUGGAGCCGGAAUUGCUGACCUCUCAUUUAUACCGGAAUUCAAUCUCAUUUUGUUUAUGUAGUACUUGCUCACACUUUCUAGUAUUUAAUGUUUUUUGUGGCCUUUUUAUCUUUUCGCUAUAUUUUGUAAUUUGUAUCGAAUAUUGUUUUCCGUUGAAUUUAUAUAUCAUAGAGUUGUCUUACUUUUUCUAUUAGAAUACGAAGAUAUUUUAUGAUCGCCACUAAGAAAUCUAUAGAAAAAAACUCACCAAAGCUAGCAGACUGAUAAGUUUAUAUGUCAAACGAAUGUUUCUUCUUAUGUACACAAUACUGAUCAACCACGCUCGGAUUAAAUAAAAAAUUAAAAGGCAAAAUUAAAUACGAAAUUGAAGGGAAUAAAAGAUUAAAAGUAAGGACAACUUAUUCAAAAGAUAUUUAUGUCCUUGGAUAGUAAAUCAUCAGCACUAUAACACCAAAUGGAAUGGAUAUAUUCAAAAAUAGGUCAAUCUUACUCUCCCUAACAAUUUUUCAUCUCUUUAUUUUGUCUAUUGCUUUGUUAUGGUUGAAAUAUCUCUUCGUCAUCGAUGCUUCUUUAAUUCAUCAAUAACUUAUUCACUAUAGACGUUUAAUAGGUAUUUCUGCAAUACUCUACUUUAUAUCCAAUAACCAAAAUCGACUGGGCACUUUACUGAAUGAAUCGUUUCCAGAGGAAGUCUUCUGUACUUCUAAGACUUCAUUAAAUUCUAAAUAAGCUAUAUUGAAAUGGAUCCAUCGAAAUCAUUAAGAAGGAUGAAAAUUUCGAAAUGCAUCUAUACAGUUAUUUAUUUUAUAAUGAAAACUUUUAAUCUUAUGAUAAGAGUGAGUUCUUUACACAAAGACUGCUCACACAAAAUGGUCAGCCGAUACGAUGUGUCUGUGUCUCAACUAACUAGCGACAAGUUUAGCGUUCUUGGACCCGGGUAGAAUUAACAUAGUUGUUUGAUGUUUAAAUUCACAGAUAUUAUUGUGACAUGUCUACGUAGUGAAAUUUGCAUAAUGUAUGAUUCAUGCAUAACUUGUAGACGCUGCAUUUUAUUUGACCUUUUUACACUUGUGAAAGUAUCACCUGUCUUUGUUAAUGAAUUGUUAUACUUCUUUUCAAUUAUUUUGUUUCAUUCCAAAACGUGAUGCAUGCUUCACAUGUUUCAGAUAACGGAUAAGUUUGAAAUUACCUUAUUAAUCUUUAUGAUUAUAACAACAAGAAUGUUAUGUUGAAUACGAAUAAAUGUUAGAAAAAACUAUCUGGUUCUUACUGCUAUAAUGACAUUUGAUCUUAAUCCUAUUCGAUAACAUCGGUUUUACUGUUGAAUGAAGAAAAUGAAGAAUAUAAAAAUCAAAUAUCAAAAAUGACAAUGUAUCACCAUCAUUUUCCAUCUGUUAUGUAAAAACUUCCGAUUGUAUGAAUAAAAAAAUAAAGUGAAAAAGUUCAUCACUAAGCUGGAGAACAUUCAUGUCCAUACACUUUAUAUGUUUUAAACCCCAUGGUUAUUAGCAUUCGACCUUUACAUUGCAAAGUACAAAAACCUUGUCCCACUGCCUAUAAUGCUAUUUUAAGAAGUUAUCUUCGUAAAUGUCUUUUUUUUAAUAUUGAUUGAAAAACUCCUGUUGUCUCUUGAGAGCGCGAUAUCUUUUUAUUUACUUCACUUAAAUAUAUAGGGUCCCAUGGCCUUUUCUAAAGAACUUUUGGGUUUCUCCAUACCUAUCGACUUUGGAGGUCAAAUGUGUACUUGCAUGAUACCUUAUUUAUAAUACCGUUAAGGCAAAAACAUUGUUCAUGGUGUAACUACCAAUAUCAGAUAGCAAGCAUUUUUUAUAUUUGUGCCACUUGUCCUUUACACAUGCAACUUUAUAUAUAACUCAAAAUCUGAAUUCUCUAUAUUUUCCCACUUAAAGCGAUCAUAACACUACAGUGAGAAAAAAUCAUCAUGACGUUUUAUCGAUUUCUAUUGCUAAAAUAUUGCCAAAUUCCGCAUCAAAUUAUCAAAUCAAUUGAAAACAAGCUUUAUCUCAAUAGAAAAGACAAAAGUUGGUUUAGGAUAUUUUAGAAUAAUCUGCUGCUGACAUAAUAUUCGACGUCAUGUGUUUAUUUCUGGUAUUCACGAAAUAUCUGCGGUUGACAAACAAUCAGUAUAGAAAUGUAUGAGAGCGAAUGAAAAACGACAACCCAUGCCGCACUGUCAAAACAGCAAUUAUAUCUGUAUGAUCAAGACAAUCUGCACCAUAUAUAAUGUUAGUUUCCGUGACAUAAAACAAAAGACAGAACGACAAAAUAAUUAAAUGGAAGGUAAACUUAUAGUGACCUAUGGUUGCUAACAUCUACGUCAUUUGGUUUCUGGUGAAUACAAUGUGUAGUUGUCUAGUUUUUAACCAUACGUUGUCUUUGAUACAUUAAUCAUUCACUUGUAUUUGUUUUUGUUUUGUUUUUUGUAAUGUGUUUAUUGGCAAAAAACUACAUACAUAAAUAAUCAUAGUAAGUAGGACAUCAGCAAAAUCGAGUCAAGUACAUAAAGUUGAUAUUUUGAAUUAAUGAAUAAAUUUAUAGUAUAAAUAAUAAUAAUGUAAAAAAAAGAGAACAUCUAAACCUGAGGUAGCAUAGCUUGGGUAGAUAUUUUUAUUACGUAAAUUUAAAGUUUACUUGUAAAGUUAUUCUAUUAGUUGUAGCCAGGAGUUCUAACUGACUAACGCCCUUUGCAAUGGUUUAUUUUUUACAAAAUAUCAUAUUUCAAUUGUAUUUGUAGUAUUUGUACUUUAAUCUAUCUGAUGAGUUAAGCUUUUUUCAACUGAUUUUUAUAGUUCGUUUUUAUGAUGUACUGUUACACCAAUGUCCCAAGUUAGAGGGAGGGUUGUGGUUCCGCUAACAUAUUUAACCCCGAAAUUAUGUAUGUGCCUGUCCCUAGCUAGGAGCCUGCAAAUCAGUGUUUUAUUUUUUUUUUUUUUUUUAUACGUUACAUAUUUGGUCCUUUUUCAUUUUUUGUACAUAAAUUAGACCGUUAGGUUUCUCGUUUGAAUUGUUUUAAAAUCAAACAUUGGGGCUUUUUCAGUUGUGUCAUUGGCAAUCAUACCGCAUCUUCUUUUUUUUAUAUAUAAUACAAGAAAUAUUUUAAAAUCACACCAUUAAAUCCUCUACUAACAAGCACUAGCAUUUUUUAUUUUGUACUGCAAUGACAAACGGAAAUACAAAAAAAAUAUAAUCUCAUUAUUUUGACAUGGUCUCAGGAUGCUUCUUGCUCCUCGUGAACAUUGUUUUAAAAUACACAUUAAUCACAUUUUGAAGGUUUAUCAUGGACACUUGUUUGCCGAAAACGAAUGACAGAUAUAAAAAUAAACAAAGAUAAUUGUUUUCCAAAAGUUUUAAUCUUGAAUUGAUCAUGAUUAAUGAGAUCAUUUGAAAUGGAUUAAUGAAUAAAAUAUACAUGAAACGUUUUUGUAUAAUUAAAUGUGUACACCUGUAGUCUAAUUCACGCAAGUUAACUCUGUAGACCGACCUAGAAAUUUCACCUUCAACAUACCAUCCAUUCCAUAUCGCACAAUAGGUAAACACGAUACAUCCUUCAUACCAAUUUUAAAUACGACGAUUACCAAUAAAUCGUAAGAAAAUACAAAAUUUGGACAAGUAAUCAAUUUAGUUCUGGAAUCUGACGCAAAAAAAUCUGUUUGAUAACAUUGACGAUAUUAUUAAAGAGAACCAGACCCGCAUUUCAACAAUAUUGUCUCUUUUGCUACUCACAAUUUUAAGGGGACACAUACAAGAGGUAGAUAGAGUAUUUUGUUUAUAAUAAUUUUUUAUUUAGUUUAUUUAGAUUAGAAACAAAAUGCAUACUUUGUUAUGUCAGUAUACCAUUGAAAAGUUUAUAGGAUUAUAAAACAUUCCCAACUUGCGGGGGACGUCAAUAGGUAUUAUGUAAUAAUUUUACCAGAGCGAAUACUGUAUUUUCGUGCAAUAAACCUGACAAAUGUAAGUUUUAUGCACUGACAAAAAAACCUGUGCCAAAUACGCGUCAAGUAAUAUAUGCAUGGGAUAAGAACAUCCUUAGUUUUUUGAAGAUAGGAAAUUUAUGAUAAUAAACAUAUAUUCAUGUAAAUUGAUAUUCAUGUCAACACCGAAGUGCUGACAACUGGGCUGAUGAUACCCUCGUGGACGAAAAGUCCACAAACAGUGGCAUCGACCUUAAAUAUUCUAAAUGAAUAAAUCAAUGAUCAUUAAUUAGUCAUGAAUUAUUAAUACAUGUAUAUUAUUGUAAGGUUCAUUAACAUAGUCUACCAACAUUGAGAAGGUAAAUAAUCAAAUAAGAAAAUUCAAGAUUUUAUUUGGUGCCUUUGAGAUUUUCGAAUGUGUUAUUUUUAAAGCUGCAAUGUUUCAGCUUAAAUUUUACAAAUAUGUGUGCCUUUACCUUUUGAUGUAUGAAUGCCAAUGAGACAACUCUCCAUACAAGUCACAAUUUAUAAAAGUAAACUAUUCUAGAUCAAAUUAUGAUAUAAAACACGAAGCAUUGGCUCACACCGAACAGCAAGCUAUAAAGGCCCCAAAAAUUACUAGUGUAAAACCUUAUAAACGGGAAAACCAACGGUCGAAUCUAUAUUAAAAAAACAACCGAAGAACCGCAUCAACAAACGACAACUACUGAACAUCAGAUUCCUGACUUAGGACAGGUAAAAACAAUUGCAGCGGGUUUAAACGUUUUAAAUGUACCAAACUUUCACCCUUAUCUGAAACAAUAGUGUAACAUCACAACAUAGAAAGACACAAUAAAAAAUAUCAAUGGGAAUGGCAUAACUCAAUCAUAUGUUUAUUUUUCUUAAGAUUUGUCAAUGACAACAAACAAACACAUUUUUAAUGGACGAUUGCAACUGUUUAUUUACUAUUGGCAGAUGUAUUGUCAAGGUAUGAUAGACAAAUGUGAUAGAAUAAGAAUAAUAAACAGAUUAGAAAUAUUUUAAAGCACACUUGAGAUUAACUAACUUAUUGACCAUUCGAUCAUUUCAUAUUGUGUUCAUAUUUAAACGCCUUUAUGUUUAAACUCAAUAACAAUGAAUUAAAUGUGCGCACGUGGGAUUUGAAAAAUUUAUUGACUACAUAAAUGAUGGUAUCAGUGCUAUCUUAUUUAUAAAUACUAAUGAAUCUUGAGUUUACUUGUUUACAAUGAUACUACACGAACUUAAGGAAAUAAUUUAGUAAGAAAAACACUGAUCCGGAACUUCUGUGCAUUUAACAAUCGUAGAACCCUUGUCUUUUUUUGGUAUUGAUUACAAUUUCAUUUGUGGAUAGACGUUAAAGUAAUGGUUAUUUUGGAUGUUAAAGUACUAUUGACAUUGUGUUUACUUUUGAUACAGUUUAUUGGUAAGUUUAAUACGCAAAUUAUCAAAUAUUAUAAAACUGUUUAGCACAUUUUAAUUCUUUGAAAAAAUUAAAAUAAUGUGUUUUUUCGACAGAAACUAUUUCCCUUACACACAUGAUAUCAUGCUUAUAAAUUAUUCAAAUGCAUUGUUUUAUGGGUAUUUUGAGCUAAAUAUGCAUACAUUUGUUCGAUCGAAUGGUAAGCAAUCAUAAACUAAUUAAUCGCUGAUUUAAUAUGAUUUUUCUUAUUCAAUCAACAAACUUUUAUUUACUAACCAUUGAAAAGGUAAAACAUUUUCAAACCAAUCUUUUUGCACACAUUUAUUGGAUUGUUCGUUAUAAAUAUCAUAUUCAAAUUGUAUAAAAUAAAACAAUUGUAAAUUUGAUAGCAUAAGUAUUGCAAAUAGUUAUGUUCUGCUUAACCUGUUCAUCUUAGAAAAGGUGUCGAAAUUCUUAUUCAUUGUGUCACUACUAUAAAAAUUCAAAGACAUAGAUAGUGUUACGCAGGUCCAAUCAAAUUGAUCGAGACACACAGAUUAUCUAAAAUAACACUUAAUCUCCAUAGUCUGUUAUUCCCUAGAUAUUGAAAUUUAUUUUAACCAUAUUGAGAUCUCAAAUUAAUUAAGUGAUUUCAUUUACGUUGUCAUCAUCAUUAUUUGACAAUUUGUUCUAUUACUAGGUGGUCACAUCAGAUAAUAUUUAGUUCAUUUAUUUUGCUUUGUUGGAUUCACAAUCUAGUUAAAAUCAAUUUCAAAGAACUUUUCAUUCGCAUUACAACAACUGUUAGUUUAGGUGACAUGCAUUUGUCAAUUGUAUAAGCAGUAUCACGUCGUGCAUUUAUAGGAAAAUUGUUAGAUAUCAAUGUGUUUAUUACUGACAGACGCUUCUGGUGAAUUACUAACUAAGGUACCAAUAUUUAAAAGAAACUAUUAUACGUCAUUGAGACAGCAAUGCAAAUAUAUUUACACCUACAGAAUAAAGUUUGUCCAGUACAUGAAAACAAUAUUCAAUAGUAAUCAUGCCUUCAAUCUAACAAAUGUAUACUUAUACAUCUGUAGUAUCAAAUAGACACUUUAUGUUUGUAUUCCACCUACUACAUGUAUAAAUAGAUUAUAGAUAAAUAGUUAUCAAAGGUACCAGGAUUAUAAUUUAGUACGCCAGACGCGCGUUUCGUCUACAUAAGACUCAUCAGUGACGCUCAUAUUGAAAUAUUUAUAAAGCCAAACAAGUACAAAGUUGAAGAGCAUUGAGCAUCCAAAAUUCCAAAAAGUUGUGCCAAAUACGGCUAAGGUAAUCUAUGCUUGGAAACAUGAAGAUACAAUAACUAUAUAUAAAAAUGAUCCUACCUUUUCAGUAAAGUUGGUACCGUCCAUUUGUUUAUUAUCACAUGAUCGUUACAUCUGUUUGUGUACUGUUGGUUCCCGAGAGUACUCGCCGAUCCAAUAGCUCGGUACUUUAGAACCGUCAAGUAUAUAAUUAUAUUGCUUAUUUUUACUUCAUAUUUUAAUCAAGGAAUGUAUUUCUAUAAAGGACAAAUGUAAUACAUUGUCCGGAUUUGACUAAACAAUGAGUUUUUUAAAGUUAUUUCUUACAAUUAACGUUUGUUUUAAAUUUUGUAUUAGCAAUUGUGUUGGUCAUGUAAUUACUAACAUUCUCUGUUGGAAUAUACGAACUCGUUGAUGUUAUAUAGGUACCAUUUAAUUUAGUCGUGACAGGCACAUUGCAUUGUCAAUCACUGGAAGAAAAAAGGUAAUUAAACAACAUUCUGACCCCCUUCCCUCCUCAAUCCUACCACCUCCAAACAAAAAGGCACAUUUUAAAUAAUAAAAUUGUGAAUGAAAAUGGGGAAUGUUUCAAAGAGACAACAACCCGGCCAAACAGCAAAAAACAGCCGAAGGUCACAAAUUGGUCUUUAACACAGCGACAACAAUCCCGCACCUGGGGGUGUGCUUCAACUGGUUCGUAAACAAAAAUGUGUACUAGUUCAGCGAUAAUGGACGCAAUACUUAAUUCCGAAAUAUAUAAAUGAACCAAAUUGAAAAUCAUACAAGACUAUCAAAGGUCUGAUAAUGUUGACCAAACGUCCAGCUAGAUAUACAUUUGGCAUUUAGAUGUUUAAUAGAUUAAUUUGGUGUCUAGCUAUCAUUUUGAAAAUCUACAUUUUUUCACUCUAGUGAUUUAAGCUUUCUUUUGUAAUUUAAAACAAAGCAAAUUCCGAAUAAAUCAUUUCUAUUUCAUUUGUGUUAAAUAUUAUUAUAUAUAUAAACAUCAAUGACAAUACUUUCAAUUCUGAUCCUUAAAUGCAGUUUUUGCUGAUAAAACCAAAACAUUUACAUCAUCAAAUAGUGAAAGGUAGUUAAGCUUACAUUUAAAGAAAAUUAACAUUCUAUUUUAAAGAAAAUCACUACUUCAUAAUCAUAUCUGAAAUUUAUUGUAUCAAUUUACGCAACUGCAGUUAUACAGUUAUAUACAUAACAAAUAUGGGAGGAUAGGACCUGUAUCGGGACUCCGGGAUCGGGUGUUUUUAAUCUCGGGAUUUCGGGACUGACCCUUUCGGGAUCAGGGAAUUCUUUUUUCGAAUUUUGGGAUGUCGGGUUUUAAAUUUAUUUAGAUUCGGACCUCGGGAUUUCGUGUUUUUAAGCCCGGGAUUUCGGUAUCAGGACCCCUCCUACACCCCCCCCCCCCAAAUAUAAAAUCUUAAGUCCUAAAUCCAAAAAAUAUGCAUUGAUAUUGAAAUGUGUUUUUCCUGGUGUAGACGAUCCUAAUCAAGAUGAAUGAACAUGAUUUUGAUGAUUUUCGUUGUAUUCUAACAGAGUCGAUAGGAUAUUCAGUGCAUAUGAUAGAGAAUGUUUAUUCACAACUUUCUUAUUAACUAAAGCAUGUACAAUCAACGUCAUAUUAAGUAUCGUAACGUAAAAACAUUAUUUUCGUCGAAUACAUUUUAGCAAUAAAGUUUGAAUUAUAAAAUGUGUUUCCCGUAUAAUGUUAGUUUAAGGAGGGAGACCUAGGUUCAGGGAAAUAACUCUUAAAAUCAUCAGUACGUUUGUGUCAACCAUUUUCAUAAAUAUAUUCUAAGCUUCUAGGUUACAUAGAUUAUUUCCAAUCUGUUUCAGGUAAAUGCUUAAAAAACAUUGAUGAAACUUGACUUUAACAAACACAUAACUGAUUUAAAGAGUUAUCUCCCUGAACCCAGGUCUACCACCUUAAACCAAAAAGCUAUUUGUCAAAAUUUCGUUAGCUUCAUGUUAAGAUGAAUACAGUCUUCUCUCUAAUAAAUCAUGUUAUGAACUGUUAAUAACAGUACUAGUCCUUGCACCAAAGUUGACUGUAUGCUAAUCUGUGUAGGUUUAUCAAUGUUUGGAUGCUAGCAAAGAAUGUAUAUUUGUCUUCUCAAUCAAUAUUAAUGAAAACAUAAAACAGGAAAACAGGGAAAUUGCUUGCGCAUUCAAUAUGAUAACUAUAUGUUUAUAAAAAACUAAGUUAGAAAUGCAUUUUUAGAUUAAGUCCUCCGUAUGGACGUUCAUUGUGUAACAUCCGUGUUUCUGGUUUAUGAUUUUUUUUAAUCUAAGAGGACAAGAACACGUCCGUUCGGAAUUGUUUUUAAACCGUAAUGAAUAAAAACAUAAACAUAUAUAUCAAUUCUUCAAAAAUAUUUUUUAGAUUGGUGUCAGGUUGUGAUUUAUUAUAAAAUAUUUUUGCUGUGUCAUAUUUUGUAAAUUUACUUAUUCAUCUCAAACUUAAUAAUGAUUUUAAAGUAUAAGAAAUAUUAACUUAAAUACAUUGGCCUUGAGCAUCACUGAAGAUAGUUUUUGUCGAAAUGCGCUUCUGGUGCAGUUAAAUUGAUGUUGAUAAUGUAGUUUUGUACUUUAUAUCUUGACAACAGUUAACACAGUGCAUACAGUGCAAGGACAAACAUCCAGGCAGUAAUAUGUUUUCUAUAAAUAGCAUCUGUUCUGAAGUUCCAUUGGUUUAGUAUUUUGAACUUUCAGUUUUAAUUUCUAUAAAAUAUUGCAAGGUUGAAGAAUUGUACGUGAUGUUUUGCAAAGAACUCGCGUCAAAUAUAGACCAACUCUCCAUGUAAGCUGUAAAUUAACAGAGUGCAUUUAUGUUUCGCCACGUGAGACCAAACACGUUAUCUUUUUUUCACUUAGAGAAACAAUAACAGUUUGUGUUCGAAGAAAAUCGUGCAAGUUUCAUCAAAACCCUCAAAUGAAAUUGAAUUUGAGGAUUUUUUUUUAGACAAAUGACAGAACAGAGAAACGAGCAAAAGCCAAAAUCAAUGUACAUAUCAUUCCUAAGCUCAAAAACGUAAUCAAAUGAGUAAAAGAUAAAACCUUGCAAGCUUUAAGAAGAAUGGGCGAUACAAAAAAUAAUGGUGAAAAUCAUAUCAAAUAAUUUCAUCUGUGAAGAAAUUGGCGAAAAAAUAAACUGAUAAACUGAAAAAUGAAGCAAGUAUAUACAUUAAUGAUCACCAUCUCCGUUUAAUAACAUUUAUGGUCCUAAAAUGCCAUAUUGAAUAAAUGUACGACACAUUAAAAGGACAUUAGAACUUCAGUUCAUGUAAUUUUUUAAACGUCUGGAUGUAAUCGUGUUUUAAGUUAAACCAUCAAAUGUUUCCUAUCUAUUUGAUUGCUUUUUCUCAUUAUUGGAUUGCAAUUAAAGUCUAUCAUCGAGAGUCUAUCCUCUCUAAAAUUUGGUCAAUAUACAUAUAUAUAUAUAUACUUUUGUUCAAUCUAAAAAGUAAACUCAUAAAAAUACUGAACUUAGAGGAAAAUCAAUUCAGAAAGUCCAUAACUACAUGGCAAAAUCAAAUAACAAAACGCAUCUAAAACGAAUGGACAAGAACUGUCAUAUUCCUGACUUGGUACAUGCAUUUUCGAAUGGUGGAUUAAACCUGGUUUUAUAGCGCUAACCCUCUCACUUUAAUGACAGUCUCAUCAAAGUUCGUUAUAUUUACAUUGAUGCCUUAACUAAAAAGACACAAUAAAAAAAUAGUCAAAAUAUGGGUACAUCAGUCAUCAUCGUAUAAUAAUUUUGAAAGGAACAAUUUAACAGAACACAAAAACAUCUAUCUACAAACACAUUCAUUGAUUUGUGUGUCUGACGUCACAAAAGUUUAUACGUCACAUCAAUUUGUUGUUCAAUGUGCAUUCAAACAAUUUGAAUAUUUACAUACGCAAUGUUAGCAUACAGGGUUAAAAAAUCAAAAGUAUGUAAGAAUAUUCUUUCAGAAAUAGGCUGAGAUUUAAACUAGUCCAAAAGUUAUAUAUAGAAUUGAUAAGAAUCCACAAAUAGUUAAUUCCACUACGCGAUUGAAUGAUUUGACGUUUGUGGUUCAACGUAUAUUGUAAUUCAUAAUAAUAAUAUAUCAUAAUGAAAUAAAAUAGAACAAUAUCAUACUGACAGGAUCUUUGAAAGUACAGAGUCACGUUACAAAAAGUCCGUAUACAGGGUUGAAAAAUCAAAAGUUUUGAUAGAACUAAUUUCAGAAAGAGACCGAGAUUUAAAAUUGUCUAGAAGUUCUUUAGAAUUUUUAAGAAUCCACAUAUGGUUUAUACCACUACGCGAGUAAACAGUUUCACAGUAUUUCUGAAGACCCUCUUUCACUGCGGACAGAAUUUUAGUCAUUCUAAUGGACACUACCUUAGUGGAACAUGCAGAUGAGCCAGCAAUAUACCGUUGUUUGUACGGAAUUUUAUAAAGCUUUGGUAUACAAUACAAACAAGGUAAGUCCUCCGAUUUGGUGUUCAAUGUAAUGUUUAUUGAAGCCAUGAAGGACUUAUGAUUUGCUAAAAUUUCAUCCUUGUCAAUUAAUUUGUCUUUGUAUGAGGGAUUACCUGAGUGCUCCUUUAUACCCAAUUCUUUUACAAGACAUUCGUAGUAAUACAAUUUACAUACAAAGAAAUAUUAUUUGAAGCUUUGUCCGCAGGAACAACAACAUACUUUUCAUGAAGAGAUGAUAGACAUUUCAUGGGCUCUUUGUCUCUGAAAACGGACUUUGGUCGAUCGUUCACACAGUUUUUCAACUUGUGAAUGCGACGUUUUAUCAGAGACCUGAUAGUUUUAACCCAUUCUGACAAAGUGUCCAGUUCAACUUCUUCUCGCUUAGCCCAUGCUUUGGCAUAGUCCUCAAUGGAAUCCAUAAUUAUUUUGAAGUUAUGGUUCCAAUUGAUGUGUUGGGGUUCUCUAAACUUAGGACCAUGAGAAAACACCUUUCGGAGAUUUUCAUGUUGAAUAAUGUUUAGAUCCCCAGCUAUAACAUGACCAGAUGGGUUGUAAUUAUAAGGCGAGUGGGAACAGUCGGAGAGUUUUUUUAUGUAUUGUUCUAAGUCAAGGUCCUGCAAUGCUUGUUUAUAGUUAAAUAUUUUAGGUGCAAUGGUUUUGGUGUAACUGUAGGAUACAAUAGGAACAGACUGAUUUUGAAAAUAAAUAGGAAUUUUAGAUGUUACCUCCUUGUGAUGUAGAACGUUGCAGAUAUUGAUUGCAUCAAUUCCUCUAUUGGCAAAAUCAACAGGAAGGAAUUUCCUCUUUCCCUCAUGUAAAGGUUCCGAUCUUACUGGUUUGAAAAGACGGGAAAGAGCUACAACACAAAUAAUACUGACUAGUCUGUAUAUUGCAGAAAAUGUAUUGGUGCCUCCUUUGUCAAGUGCAUAAUCUCUUAAACGUUUUAGAAAAUUAACUAGCAGUGAAAAGAGAAUAGUUUUUAUGUAAUGUAACCCUAGUGGAUGAUAAAGAUGUGAAAGAAGGUCACCAAAGCUCCCAGAGGGUGAUCUAGUUUUGGAAGACUUUUUUACAUUAGGCCGAUGGUAAUGGUUUUGCCCAUGACUACGUUGUUGUCGUAAGGUAGUAUUAAAUAAACUCAUUACAUUAACAUCACUGCAGACAGGACAAGACAAAUUUCCUACUCCUUUAAUAUUGUCAUCGCAAUCAUAUGGCAUUGCAGUCCCUAACUCCCUUAUCGAGAAAUUUUCUCUAUCUUUGCGGAAAGGAGUACUUAGUACAGGGCUAUUUGUGUGGUGAUAAAUUUUCCCAAUGAUGCGUACUUUCAUAGAUAAAAAAGGAUCAUGGUCCGGUUAAAACGUAAAUGUUUGGCAAUUGUUUAUAAUUGUAAUUUACGGGUGCCACAUAAAGAACAAUAUCUGCUUACACUUCUGUAGCACCUGAGAUCAUGCCCAGUUUUUCAUGGGGCUCGUGAUGCUUAAUCAGUAGUUUUCUAUGUUGUGUUUUGUGUACUAUUUGUCUGUUGGUAUUUUUUUCUUCAUUUUUAGUCGUGACGUUUUUAGUUUCCGUUCGACAUAUGAUUAUUAAUGUCCUUCUGGCAUCUUUCGCCUUUCUUUUCUUCACCUACACAUACUCUCAAUGUUAGUUCUUUAGUUAUAUUAUGUGUUGUGUAAUCUACUAUUAGCUUUAGUUACUCUCCCUUUCUGUCAAAAACUAUGACCAUUCAUAUUUCAAUCAAAAUUAUAUUUGUUAUUAUUUAAUUUAAAUAAUGUUUUUCCAUAUUUAACACAAAAUUGGUUACCUUUUGAUUCGACGAAAGACUCCUAAUUUGGUUAUUUUGUAAUUUCUUAUGAAUAAUUUAUACAUUAAUUCAAUUAGUAUGAAGAAAAUACAUUCUAUAACUGAUUUUAAUUCGUAAUAUAUGCUAAUCAAAAGAGAUUAUCGACAAUACGUGUAUUGUGAAUUGAAGUGAUUGAUUAUGUUUACAUGCUCUGUUCGUUCUAAUCCUAUUCAAAGCAAGACAUUAUAUUUAAACAUUUGUUCCAGGAAACUGCAUACCAGCUUUACUUGUUUGCAGUAUAUUAAUUAACAUAUAUUCCGGUAUGGUUAAUCAUUAUAAUUGACUUAAGUAAAACGUUAGAUCAUAAAACGGAUAUUCCUAUUUCUAACUUAAAUGUAGGAUUACUUGGCCUAUUUCAAAUGUUAUAAAAGUUAUAGAGUAAUUGAACAAAUCGUUUAAAACGAAAACAUGUGGUUGAAGAUGAAUAGAUAUACUAGACUGGUCGUUAGAAGUUUUAAUUUGUUUACGAAUAAGUUGUUUUGGGCGUUAUCCAUUUAAAUAAACAUGAUAAAAUUGAGAAAGCGGAAGACAUAAAAUCAGUGAAGUAGGAGUAACAGGAUCGGGAAAAAAAUAUAAUAAAUUAAGAAAGAUAAACCAAAUUUAGACAAGAAUCGUCAUUAAAGACAUUGUUUAUUCAUGAAAAAACAAUUAGUGGAUGUUAAUAUUGUAUAAGAUAACUAGAAGUCGUGUUAAUUUAUUAUAUAUAACAAACAGUCACAAGGCUGACUAGAAUUUGUUGUUUUUAGCCAAUGAUGUUUUUGCCCCAGGCAGUAUGUAGUAAUGAACUAUGAAGUAAGGUCAAUCAUCUGUAUUGGCACACAAUAUAUGAGUUGAAUACUUUUUUUUUAAAAUAAAUCGUUAUAACAAUUCCAAAAAUUGCAGCUCUGUGACCACUCUCGCAGCUUUCGUCACAAUUAUGAUAUCAUACAUCUUAAAAUAGCUGUUGAUUAUUAAAUAUGUUUUAAAAAAACACUAAUUAUUGUAUCUGCUGUUAAAAGUGCAUAUAAUAAAUAUUUUGUUUGGAGUAUGUUUUGGAAAUCGUUUCAGUGGUAUUGUUGCGUUUAAUGUUGACGAAAAGUUAUCAAGCAUUCAUCUUUUUUAUUGGGAGAGAUGACAUGUUUAUUGUUAAUAAUGUGAACUAAACGAAUCUUUAUCAAGGAAUGAAGUGAAAAAAUAGUUUGUUUUCCUGGCAAGUUAGAAAACAACAUGCAACUUGAUUAUAAAAAUAGAUAUUACUUUUUUUUAUUGUAUAAAGUUAACUGAUAAGACAUAAAAGAUCAUCAAAUCUAUCAAUUUGUUAUCAAGUUAUGUUUUAUAUUUUCUAUUCACAGGUUAUAGUAAUAGUAUGACAGGUUAUCCAUUAAGAAUAUUUAAAAAAGGA